ACGCUCGACACCUACGGAGGCAGCAGUGGGGAAUAUUGCACAAUGGGGGAAACCCUGAUGCAGCGACGCCGCGUGAGUGAAGAAGUAUUUCGGUAUGUAAAGCUCUAUCAGCAGGGAAGAAGAUGACGGUACCUGAGUAAGAAGCCCCGGCUAACUACGUGCCAGUAGCCGCGGUAAUCUGAGCGGGCUGGCAAGGC
rnacentral:rRNA from 1 species